GCCAACUUAGCUCAGUUGGUAGAGCAACGGUUUUGUAAACCGUAGGUCGUGGGUUCAAGUCCCACAGUUGGCU
rfam:Candidatus Pacebacteria bacterium CG2_30_36_39 cg2_3.0_scaffold_19_c, whole genome shotgun sequence.